GGCAUCCUGUUGUGUGCAAGGUAAGACCCACCAGCCUUGCUUUGAUUGGAAGCAAGGUGAAGUCUGGAGAGUCUGACAGUUGAAUUCUGAGAUGGAGCUGGUUCCAAGCAUGAUCGUGGAUGAGAAUCUGUUGAUGGAAAAUCAAUGGCAACCCCUGGUCUGACUGCGAGGGUGUUCCUUUGAGUGGCUCAUGGUCUCCUGCCAUAUUCCCACCUCCUAAGAUAACUCAGACACUUAAAGGGUCUUAAGGGAUCAUAUUUGUACCCCUCCUUAGGCCCACACUCUAGUACACCCCAAGACCACACUCUACUAUACCCCAAGAUACUAUUUUCAACAGUGUCUCACACAAAGAUCCCAGCUGUUUUCUUUCUGACAUCCUGUAGGGACAUUGCUCUUGCUAAAGCUUUGAUCUUCAGGCAGCAGGCUGGUAAAGACUGGUGCCUCUGCUGCCUGUGUGACCCUAGGCUGGGGCUACCAAGGAGACUCCCGGGACUACAUUCAGCAAGAGACAUUUUUACAUGGAUGGUGCUUAGAGCAGGAGAUGACACUCAAGCCCUAACAUACCGGAUGGAAGAGGGACACAGAGGUCUCCUUGAUGGAAGAGGCUUCUUCUGAUUGACAGAGAAAUUGGACCAGAACCAGAGACCUACAAGCAGGUGGACUAAGAGGAACAAGAGAAAAUGUCUGCUGAUCCAGGUGAAGAUCAGCCAUUGAGGAUAUGCUCAGAGAGCUGGGCCCAAAAUUGCUCUGCAGACCUGUUAUCAAGAAAGACAGGCACCUGGACAAAAAGAUAUAUGGCACAAAUAUCUCUGAAUAAAGAGACUGUUUUCUUACUACAAUAAACUUCUUUGUAUAUUUGAACCACA